AACGAACGCUGGCGGCAGGCUUAACACAUGCAAGUCGAACGCCCCGCAAGGGGAGUGGCAGACGGGUGAGUAACGCGUGGGAACGUACCCUUUGGUUCGGAAUAGCUCAGGGAAACUUGGAUUAAUACCGGAUACGUGCGGAGGUCUGACGAUCUUUGCAGAAAGGUUUACCGCCGAAGGAUCGGCCCGCGUCUGAUUAGCUAGUUGGUGAGGUAACGGCUCACCAAGGCGACGAUCAGUAGCUGGUCUGAGAGGAUGAUCAGCCACAUUGGGACUG
rnacentral:rRNA from 1 species